rnacentral:lncRNA from 1 species
GAGACAUAAACAGUCAUGGAUAAUGAAAUUAUGAGAUCCUUCUGAAUGAGCUAAGAGAAUCUUAUUUAUUCUCUUUCGUUUUGUUCAUUGAAGAAAUUAUGGGAAAACAAAAAAAGAAGUACAAAAAUGAGUAAUAACCCCCAGUAGAGACUGGUACGAUUCAAUUCAACAUUUUGUUCGUUCGGGUUUGAUUGUGUCGUAGCUCUAUAAUUUGGAUUAAGUCUAUCGUUGGAUGAACUGCUGAUAUUGAUCCAAAAAAAAGACAGUAGGUACAGCUAGGCCGUGAACAUCCAACCAUCGUACUGUAACAAUAGGAUAUGUUCGAUCUAUAGUAAUUAGGGCCUCCUAAAACGAUCUACUAAAUUCAUCAAGUUGUUCCAAAGGAUCAAAACGUCCAGUUAUUAAUGGAAUUCCUUGUUGGCUUUCUGUAUAAUACUCGUUCGGUCGAGGGCUUCCUAACACAUCGUAAGCUAAACUGGUGCUGACAAAUAACCAACCCGCAAUGAAUAGGGAAGGUAUAUUAAUGCUAUGAAUGACCCAAUACUAAACUGGUGCUGACAAAUAACCAACCCGCAAUGAAUAGGGAAGGUAUAGUAAUGCUAUGAAUGACCCAGUAUCGAAUAGUGGUAAUAAUAUCAGCAAACGAACAUUCUCCUGUGCUUCCAGACAUGCUGAGCUCCACAUAUUCUUGUACAGUCAAAGAUGAUCGAUUACGUAAAAGAUGAGAUCAAUA